CCCCUAAACAAAUAUAUACUAGUUCAGUGAUAAUAAACGCCAUACUAAUUUCCAAAUUGUACACAAGAAACUAAAAUUAAAAUAAUACAAGACUAACAAAGGCCAGAGGCUCCUGGCUUGGGACAGGCGCAAAAAUGCGGCGGGGUUAAACAUGUUUGUGAGAUCUCAACCCUCCCCCUAUACCUCUAGCCAAUGUAGAAAAGUAAACGCAUAAC
rnacentral:lncRNA from 1 species